rnacentral:lncRNA from 1 species
UGGGAAGAACUAUGACUUUGCUCAGGUGCUGAAGCGAAGCAUCUGCCUGGACCAGAAUACACAGGCCUGGUGUGACACCUGUGAAAAGUACCAGCCCACGAUUCAGACCCGCAACAUCCGCCAUCUGCCAGAUAUUCUUGUCAUCAAUUGUGAGGUGAACAGCUCAAAAGAGGCUGAUUUCUGGAGAAUGCAGGCUGAGGUUGCCUUCAAGAUGGCAGUAAAGAAACACGGUGGGGAAAUCUCCAAGAACAAGGAAUUUGCUUUGGCUGAUUGGUAGGUGCUGUCUUGGGAGUUGUCAAAGGAUUGAAUUGCCCAGUGGUUCCUCUUAUCAAGACCUCUUUCGGAACAAAUUUCCAAUUCUUCUGACCUGAUAGGAAGGAACUAGGGAGUCCAGAGGGUGUGCUGGUGUGUCCCUCCAUUGAGGAGUUGAAGAACGUCUGGCUUCCUUUCUCCAUUCGCAUGAAGAUGACCAAAAACAAAGGGCUGGAUGUUUGCAAUUGGACUGAUGGGGAUGAGAUGCAGGUUGUUGAAAAACCGGGAAGAGGAAAGGGAAUAAGGGAGAGAAGG